CCAUCCGAGCCACAAGGGGGCACCCUCCGCCCUGCCAUGGGCGUGCGUCUGUGCCCAAAGGAUGACCCUGAAGGGGAAGGUCGCUCGAGGGCAGAUCCUGAAGGAAUGGGGAGGGAACUGUUACUGUUUUGGUAAAGUGGCUCAGUGGUGUGACUUUUGAGUGGGACCUCCGCCCCGGACUCUAAAGCCGCGUUCUUCAAGGUGACUGCGAUGCUGGCUCAAGCUUGAGAACCACUGCCUCCGUGGAGCAUCUUCCUGGGCACCCUGAGCACCGGCUGGGAUGCAGAACCACGACGUUGCUAUCUGAUCUCAUCAGGCUUCUGCCAAGAGGCUAAAUGUAAGAGCCUGCGUUCCUAACGCUUGACAUGUCCUUUGGGUCACUUACCCGAGAACACCUGAGGACACUGAGGUCAGUCUUUCUGUGGGAAUGUGUCAGUCCCUGGGCGAUACAGAGGAGGGCCAAGUGCCAGCCCUCAGGAGCUUCCAAUCACGUGUAGACGGCGGGAUCGCCACAGAGAUCCAAAGACCAAGGAGGCUCCGACUGGGGUGCCUCUGGCUCCACGUGGAAGCAGAAUGGAAGCACACACAUUAGGACACCCCCCCCAUCGCCAUCCUGCCUUGCUUUUCUAUUCUCUCACGCCCAGAUGCGCCCCCUCCUCUUUUCCUCCCUGCUCACCGCCUGCCCUGAGUUUGCCCUAGUUUUUCUCUUUCAUGACCCCUAAUCUUCUACAUCGCUUGUCCUAUUUCCCUCCACCUCAUUCUGGUUUUGUUUUAGGUCACAGAAGUCCCAGGGAUAGAUUCAGCAAGGACAGAGCCCCCAGAAGGCAGAGGAAAGGAUAGAACAGAGUGGACGUGGACAGACGUCAGUUCAGGAUGAAGCCUGAGAACACCCGAGCGUACCUGACCAUCCUGGCCCCUGCCCUGUGCUGUGCAGGCCCCGGGGGCACACUGCGCUGGGGGCCACAGAGUGUGGCAGAGCUCUCGGGGGCAAUUGGACGUGAGCUAAGCCUUGGCAGAUUUGAAUGACUUACUUUGCCUGUUUGGAGGCAGGAAAGGGGGGAAAGAACCUUAAACGACCUAUUUGAGGAGAGAGAGUGUCAUCACUGUGCUUGUGCAAUCGUGUCUGAAAGCUGGAUUCCUCUGGACCAACAAGGUACCCAUGGACAGCGUCCUUUGGACCAAGUACUGUGUCAACAACCCUCAUGGGUUAACUCCCGAUCAUCCGUGUGCUAAUGACACCCAAUCUCUGAAGUCCAGACUUUUCUCUUCACAUUUACACUCCUAUAUUCACGUAGGGGUAUUUUAGUCCUGAAGUGAACCUGUGUUCCUAGUUCCUAGAAACCCCUAAGGCUCUUGGUUUCCUUCUGGUUUAGUGGAACAAUGGAGAAAACCUAUAACCAGUUCUAGCUUCAAGCACCAUUCCCAUUCCGGUUUACACUGUAACUCUGAAAAAUCAGUUUUUUCACAGUUUCAUCUCAUAUCCACCAGAAGAGACAAAAGAUCAUAAAAAUGGAAUUUAUUUGAGUUCAUCUUCCAACAACGUGGCCAGUUACUGCUUUAUUUAGCUUUAUUUACUUAGUUACUGCUUUACUUGUUUUUGAACAUUAAUAUAGUGCAGACAUUGGUCUAUGUAAGCGUUUUAUGUGCAUGCUACCACUUAAUUUUUACAACAGCCCUGUGAGGUAGGUGCCAUUGUCAUUCUCAUUUUAUACUUAAAAUGCCUGAGACUUAGAGAGAUUAACUGUGGUCAUACAGCCAGCAAGCAGCAGAGCUGUGGUUAAAACUCAUGUCUGUUUAAUGCUUGAGAUGUUGCUUUUGGCAUUAUUUUAUAAAAGAUGAAGGGUGCCUGGCUGGCUUGGUAGGGGGAGCGUGCGAUUCUUGAUCUCCAGUUCAUGAGUUCGAGCCCCACGUUAUACAUAGAGACUACUUAAAUAAAUACAGGUAAAAAAAAAAAAAAAAAAAAAAAAAGAUGACAUGAGAGCAUUCUUAACUAUGUCUUUUAACUACUGCAUGUUUUAUCUUUUUUUUUUUUUUUUUUAAGAUUUUAUUUAUUCAUGAGAGACACAGAGACCAGGCAGAAGGAGAACAGGCUCCUGCAGGGAGCCCUAUGUGGACUUGAUCCCAGGACUCCAGGAUCAUGCCCUGGACCGAAGGCUGGCGUUCAGCUGCUGAGUUACCCAGGCAUCCCUGCAUCCUUCAUCUUCACCAAAUUAUUCUUAGCUAAGAAAUUUAAAUACAGGGGCAGCCUGAGUGGCUCAGCGGGUUAGCACCAUCUUCAGCCCAGGGCGUGAUCCUGGAAACCAGGAUCGAGUCCCAUGUCGGGCUCCCUGCAUGGAGCCUGCUUCUCCCUCUGCCUGUUUCUCCCUCUGCCUGUGUCUCUGCCUCUCUCUGUGUGUCUCAUGAAUGAAUAAAAAGUAUUAAAAAAAAAAAAAGAAAAAAAAAGAAAUUUAAAUACAGAUUCACAAGGGUAGGGCUUCUCAUAGUUGAAUGAUCUUUGGGGUGUUUCAGUGACCUGUUAAUCAAAUUCCAUGCUAAAAAAGAAACAAAAAACCCCCUCCAUCCUAAAGUAAAAGUGAGAUUACUUUGUGAUUUCAGUUUUAAAACAAGCACUUAUUGUCUUUCAGGAAGGCUAUAAAUAGAAAUUCAAGGAAAUAUUUCAACUAAUAAAGAUAAAAAUAUUUUUUGUUAAAACAUCAAA